CUGGGAGGAGCCAGAGGAGAGGACGCAACAAUCACAAUACAUAGGAGAGUGUUGUGGUGGCAGCCCGGCUGACGGUUCACUCACCUCCGUCGAGUCAGCUGAGCUCGCCCACCUGCCCUCUCCCCUCGGACUUCCCCCACACGGUUCUCCCUCGUGCCUCGCCAGUCAGCCUGCCACCACACUCCUCCACCAAAAUCAGUUUCCUGACCAAUUCCUGGUUAGUUACACACAAAAUGCAGAAUUUGACCCACUGUGUCUAAACUCUGCACACAAGCCAAAUAAGAAACAACACCUGGAGAUAAACUCACUUCUACUUCAAAUUUCUGCAAUCAAAACCUAGCACUUCUUUUUUCAAAAGGGCAUUUUUGGAUCAAUGGAAACAUGCAUCAUGUUUCUUAAACAUUCACAGCAGCAGCAACACACUGAGCAUUAUUCAACACAAAAAUGUUUAGUGCUUUGUAGACUUUUUUUUAUUUCAUCAAACAGAUCUCUGGGAAAGAUUGUUUAGUAAAUCUACUCACAUUUCAAUAA